GUAAAAUACAACUAACUCACACACACACAAUUAAGGCACCCAGGUGUUUUUAAAAAUUGACUCAGCAGUGUGCAUUUAGCCAAGUAGGCUUAGUGAAGUUAGCAUCAACAGAGGGUUUUGAGAAAUAUAAUGGUCACAGAGAAUACAAGACUGCAGUCAUUGAUGUUAGCAUGUACUGCACAAAGAAAAACUGUUUCAAUAUUAGAUGCCAUAGCAGUCAAAAAAAAAUGGGAGAAGAAAGAGCUGAAGAAAGGAUGAUUACAGCAUCUAUGAUUUCUGAUAGGUGUUUUUGAAGGUUAACUACAUCGGAAAGAUCAAGACAGUUGGAAAGGGCUAUUCAUAUUAUGGAAACUUUUUCUCACAGAGCUUGAUAAUCAGGCAAAAUG